rnacentral:rRNA from 1 species
CGCAUCUGUGCAUGCAGCAUAUCAAUAAGCGGAGGAAAAGAAACUAACAAGGAUUCCCCUAGUAACGGCGAGUGAAGCGGGAAGAGCUCAAAUUUGAAAUCUUAAAGGGUUUCCCUUUACGAAUUGUAGUUUAAAGAAGUGUUUUCUGUUGAGGUUUUGGUAAAAGUUCUUUGGAAUAGGACAUCAUAGAGGGUGAGGAUCCCGUAUUUGACCUUUACUUUCAACUUUGUGAUACACUUUCAAAGAGUCGGAUUGUUUGGGAAUGCAGUCCAAAAUGGGUGGUAAAUUUCAUCUAAAGCUAAAUAUUGGCGAGAGACCGAUAGCGAACAAGUACCGUGAGGGAAAGGAUGAAAAGAACUUUGAAAAGAGAGUUAAACAGUACGUGAAAUUGUCAAAAGGGAAGCGUUUGACACCAGUGUUGUUUUUCUGAAAAUCAAUUAAAGAACUGUUUAUGCUAAGCUGUUUAGACUUUAUCAGCUAAUCUGCUUAGUUUUGAGCUUUUCUUUAAUGCACUUUUCAGUUAACAAGUCAACAUCAAUUUCUUUUGCUGUAAAAAAGCUUGAGGAAGGUGGCUUGAGAUUCGUCUUAAGUGUUUAUAGCCUCUUGCCUAUGCAGUCGGAGAGAUUGAGGUCUGCAGCGUAGAUCCUUCGGGGCUAAAUGCAUUUGUGCUAAGUUAUAGCAUUUUAUAGACAACUUGUUGACUAUGAUUUGUCUUGUAGCUUACUCGCUUAUGUUAUUUUACCUACGCUUAGGAUGUUGAAUCUGUGCGAGACUAC